GCCUGGGAAAUUGCCCUGAUGUGGGGGAUAACCAUUGGAAACGAUGGCUAAUACCGCAUAAUGCCUUCGGGCCAAAGAGGGGGACCUUCGGGCCUCUCGCGUCAGGAUAUGCCCAGGUGGGAUUAGCUAGUUGGUGAGGUAAGGGCUCACCAAGGCGACGAUCCCUAGCUGGUCUGAGAGGAUGAUCAGCCACACUGGAACUGAGACACGGUCCAGACUCCUACGGGAGGCAGCAGUGGGGAAUAUUGCACAAUGGGCGCAAGCCUGAUGCAGCCAUGCCGCGUGUAUGAAGAAGGCCUUCGGGUUGUAAAGUACUUUCAGUCGUGAGGAAGGUAGUGUAGUUAAUAGCUGCAUUGCUUGACGUUAGCGACAGAAGAAGCACCGGCUAACUCCGUGCCAGCAGCCGCGGUAAUACGGAGGGUGCGAGCGUUAAUCGGAAUUACUGGGCGUAAAGCGCAUGCAGGUGGUUUGUUAAGUCAGAUGU
rnacentral:rRNA from 1 species